UUCAAGGUUGUGGGGAAACACACACCCCUACACAUUGACGCACGGACGCGCACCCGAAGCCCCGCCCCCAACUCUACGGGGACUCGGUCCCUAGGCCGAGGAUCUUCUUAAUGCAUCAUCCCAGCCAUGCACGACCCUGGGUUUUGCAAGAAAGACCCCCGAGCAGCAGCGCAGGCUUCUGGAGAAUGCAAGCUCCCACCUGGCCUAGGCGUCCGGCUCCGCUGCGGAACGUGAAGUUCCCCUGCCCCCGCGGGAGGUGGGAGGGCGCUGCGGAAAGGCAGUCCUCCGCAUUUCGUCUCAGGCCACCGGAUCAGGGCUGAAGCCAGCCCAAGCGGACCCCUCCCCAUCCCCACCCGCCUGCCGGCAGGCCCCAGGUCAGCGUCUUACAACUCUUCAUUAUGAAGUGCGUGUAGUGCCCUUGUCUCCAGAGACGCGAAGAGUCCUCGAGGCCCCUCGAGCUAAAAGUGCAGCCUGGCCCAGUUUCUCCUGGCCUACUCUACUCCACUCCUGGUACACGACCCACCUCCAAGGGGCGGAGGGCCCCUGGGGCAGCGCUGACUCACGCGUGCGUGGUUUCCACCAGUCUUUCAACUUGAGAGACCCCCACAAUCGGCCCUUAGCCGGGAGUUCCUGUGUGCGGCUCCCGACGCAGACCUUCGAACCCCUUCCAGACUUCCGAGCUCCAGACGUCCCGCAACUCCGCCUUGAUCCCUACCCGAUACCUAGGUGGGCUUUUGCUUAGCAUUGAAAGACGCUUCCGUUGAGAAAAGGAUUUCGAAGCUUGUCUGAAUCCCUCCUGUUCACAAGGUCUUUCCCGGUCUAAAGUCUCUCAAUAAAACCAAUCUGUGCCCCA